AAUCAACGCUGGCGGCAUGCCUAACACAUGCAAGUCGAGCGAGAAAGGGUAGCAAUACCUGAGUAAAGCGGCGCACGGGUGAGUAACACGUGGAUAACCUGCCUCAAAGUGGGGAAUAACACCGGGAAACCGGUGCUAAUACCGCAUAUUCUGACGAGAUCUGUGGAUUUUGCCAGGAAGGAGCAAUUCGCUAUGAGAGGGGUCCGCGGCUGAUUAGCUAGUUGGGAGGUAACGGCUCACCAAGGCCACGAUCAGUAGCCGGUCUGAGAGGACGGUCGGCCACACUGGAACUGAGACACGGUCCAGACUCCUACGGGAGGCAGCAGUGGGGAAUUUUCGCAAUGGGGGC
rnacentral:rRNA from 1 species